rnacentral:rRNA from 1 species
AUACGGAGGAUCCAAGCGUUAUCCGGAUUUAUUGGGUUUAAAGGGUGCGCAGGCGGAAGAUUAAGUCGGCGGUGAAAUUUUGCAGCUCAACUGUAAAAGCGCCAUCGAUACUGGUUUUCUUGAGUGGGGAUGACGUAGGCGGAAUUUGUGGGGUAGCGGGUGAAUGCAUAGAUAUCACGAGGAACUCCGAUUGCGCAGGCAGCUUACUAGGCCAUAACUGACGCUCAGGCACGAAGGCGUGGGGAUCAAACAGGAUUAGAUACCCUGGUAGUCCACGCAGUAAACGAUGAUUACUCGCUGUUUGCGAUACACAGUAAGCGGCUUAGCGAAAGCGUUAAGUAAUCCACCUGGGGAGUACGUUCGCAAGAAUGAAACUCAAAGGAAUUGACGGGG